AACAACACCGCUGCUCUUCCAUCCGCUAUUUAAAAUAGAUAAGAACGCCCCUCCAUUUUGUUGCUAUGAUUCCGGCGUAAGGAUUCCAACAACUAACAUCUUAUUCAUUUUGGAGAGGUUUAUUGGCCGAGAAGAAUCAAAACUCAGUCCAGAGAAAACAGGUGAGACUCGGGAAGCCGUGAGAUUUUGUUCCUCGAAUCGAUUCUUGGUAAUUUCACUUCCUAAACCGUAGUCAUUUGCAUGCUCGACAGCCGAUUCGAAGACUUGCAGACCUAGUUUUACAAGCAGAGAAUCAAAGAAAGCGGAACAAGUUAGUCGUCGGAGUUCCUUGUCAAUUUUGUACCAUGAUUUUUUUGCUUUCCGAUUUAGGAUUCUAAACCUUACCCGAUUAAAUUCUCGGCAGCGGAAUCAGAGACUUGAAGACUUGGAUUUACUUGCCGAGCAUCCGAGUAAAAGGGAAAGGUUAGUCGUCGGAGAUUGUUCUCUGUUUUUCAUCUUUUUGGGUAAAGCUUCUGUUUGAAUCUUGUUCCUGAUCCGUAGUAGCCGUUGAAAAUGCCGCCCAAACCUUCCCCAAUUCCGCGAAUGACUUGGAGUUGAACCGCAAAACAACAACCUCCGGCGAGGAUAUCGGAGGAUGAGACCCCUCCUCGCCGCAAUCUCGUUCCCAAAAGGAUUCGAGAGCCCGAUUAGUCGUCCAUCUUUUAAGUUGUCGAGAAAGGGAUGAAUGUGAUUUUCUUCUCAAAAUUUCGAUUACUCGCCAUCGAUGGAACAUGCACAUUGUUCCUGUUUUGGAUAAUUUGUGCUAAUAUGAUUUUGUCCCGAAUUGGUAACAAAUGAUUUGAUUUGUAAUUUUUUGUUCCGCUUUUGUGCAUUUGGACACUUUGGUACUAAAAUUGCUAACCAAGUCGAUAUAAUAUAUAACCAGGUGUUGUUGAUUAUCAAAAUUCCUUUUAUGUCUUUUUAUAUGAUUCAACGCUAACACACACUAGGGACGUACUUGCCUUGGGGAUACUUGGGCCACGCGACCUCCUCGGGCGACGGAGAACUGUUGAUGUUUUCGGGCGUUUUGGAUGACGUGCUGCGUGCGUGGAAGCAACAAGGUUCGAGAUUUGUGUUAGCGGAUGAUCUGGUUGGAGAUACGGCAGCGUUUAUAGGAUACCAGAGUUCGACUACAUUGGUAGGACGAGGUUUCAAAGGCGUCGAGACAGAUUGCGUGUAUUAUUAUCGCCACGGUUCCUACGAUGUCCGGAAGUUCCAUCUCAAAGAUGGAAGAUUUGAUCAUCAAUACUUAGCAGAUGGUUGUAAAGGCGGUUCAUUCCCAGUUUGGAUUUUGCCUAGCGUAAAUCUAUAAAUCAUUCAGCCUCUCCACAGUUGUCUUUGGUCUUGCCGGUGUCUGCGAUUACCCCUUACGACGAUUGUGACGUGAUGAUCGUGCUUUGAUAGAGAUCUAGAACGAUCUACUUCUCUAGUAUUAGACAAUUAAUCAAUUU
rnacentral:lncRNA from 1 species